rnacentral:rRNA from 1 species
AUGGAGAAGAAAGAAGCAGCCAUGGCCCAAGCCAUUGUCCAAAGCUUAUGCACGAAGCUCAGAUCCACCAUCGCCGUUGGAGACAAGGCCACCGGCGAUUUGCAGGAAAUAAUGGAGAUGCUGGAGGCCAUACAUCCGCUGCUGGAGGACGCAGAGAGGCGGUGUCUUUGUUUUAAGGAUGAUGUCCCCAAAGAGGGAUCGAAGGAAAUAAUGGGGACACCGGAAGCCAUACAGCCGCUGCUAGAAGAUGCCCCCCAGCAAAUGGAGGGGAAGAAGGUGCGGGACUGGCUGAGGCGGGUCGUUAAGGCCGCCUAUGAUAUCUUGGACGUGUUGCAAGACACCAUGACACCGUCUGCGCGUAAGUUGACGAAGAUGAUACCGCGUGCCAAUGCCCCUGAGAAGAAGAAUCUCAUGGCUGGUAAGAUGGAGAAGAUAAAAGAAGAAGUCUGCAAGCUACGAGUCGACAUGGAUGAAUUCAAUCUUAUGUCAUCUGAUUCCGAUGCAACCAUCGAGCCACAAGUUAUUGAUGUAAAAGAGUUUGAAGAACCAACGAUUGUAGGAAGGGAUAAAGAAAUGCAGAUGAUAAUGGAAAGUAUAUUUAUGAAAAAAGGGCACCACAUCAUAGUUCAAAUUGGUUGGCGUGAGGAUGGCAGCGGCAAGACAACAUUAGCGCAAAUGGUUUUCAGCCAUAGCCGAUUCAAAGACUACUCCCGAGUGUGGUUCCAAUGCUCAGGGAAUUUUCCCUUGCAGGAGAUGGGGAAGGCCAUAAUUUCUCAGGUAUCAGGGGAAGAGAUCAGCGGUGAUUCAAAUGACAACAUCGAGUAUGUAAGGAAGCGCCUUCAUCAGCUAUUUGAUAAUGGUAUUAAGGUACUUGUUGUUUUAGAUAACACACAGCUAUCAUCGGAUGAUAGCGAAAAGUUGGGAGGUAUGCUAAGGGAAUGGGACAAUCAUAGUGAGGUAAUCUUGAUAGCAACAGGCGAAAAUAUCUAUAUUCGGAUAUAUGAAACAAACAUAGAUAAUGUAUGUGCCUUUUAG